AGCAAAUGAGGGGGCGGGAUUCUGAUCAUCAGUAUCUCUCAUUCAGUGCCGCGCCGCGCGAGCUCCUGUGGUUAGUCAUUCCAGCAGGCCUACAACUACACUUGGCAGUUGGAAGGCAGCCUAAUAGUUGUUUUACAGACGCUUUCCACACACUUCGCAGCAGCAUUGAAGACGACAAGCGUCAAGAAAGUCGACUCCUCAAAAAUGUACAAGGCCUUCAGUGUAUCCCUGUGGAUAUGGCAGACUGCAGUGCUGUUGAGCCUCAACUGGGUCAUUGUUGUCCUCAGCCAAUUCUUCAGCCGUCGCAGAGCACUGAAGCUCCUUUCUGCCUCACAGGAUGAAACUGGGACCACGAGUAGCAGUCUCACCAGAGUCUCCACCUGUGAGAAGAGCCCUCUGACCUCUGGUGGCAUGCCUCUGAGAAUUUGGACAGCUUCUUUGCAUGAAGUCUCCUCCAGCUUGACCAGAUUUCCCAGGCUCACCUGAUCAAAACGCUCAUGAAGCUGGGUGGUCGCCAUGUCAAUGGCACUGAAAAACUG
ensembl:lncRNA